CCAAAAUGAUAUAUAUUAACAUAAACAGUCUCCCCAGCACAAGGCGUACCGAAGAAGACUAAAAAAUUACAAAAGAGUCAAAGAAAUACAAUCGAAAUAAAAUCAUACAAGGCCCAAACACAUCAAUGGACUAGACCACCAGCUAUGGUAGUUUAAAGCUAACGUAAAGUUCGUCAUCUUCAACCACCUGAAAGAGAAAAGCUUGAUCUUAUCCAAUAAAAUAUGAGGUGUGCCCGUUGAGCCCUUGAACAACCGAUGAUUUCUCUCUGUCCAUAACACCCAAACACAAGCGAGCCAAACAAGCUGUAAAAAGGACCUUCUCGCCCAAGAUCCACCUAAUAAACCCGUAAACUGAACAAAAUGAUCACGCAAAGAAGUGGAAUCCACCAAGGAAGUGCCAAUCCAUGCGCGAACUAAAUCCCACAGCGAUCCAGCAAUACUACAAGAUAGAAAUAAAUGAUGAGCUGUCUCAGCCGCUCCACAUCCAAAAACACAAGUGGCAACCGUAGGAGACAAAACGCCACGAGUAACCAGGUUUGCUCUCGUAGGCAACCUGUCCCGCAAUAAACGCCACGCAAAGAUGGACACCUUCAAAGGAACCUGAGAGUGCCAUAUAAGAUUAUCCGCAUCAUCCAAGGUGACUGAAUCCUGAGACGUCAAAAGCUGAUAAACUCCCCCAACCGUAUAACCUGUGUCAGGGUCAAGUCUCCAUUGCCACCUAUCAGUAGCCUGAUCCUGCAAAGAAAUGUCAAGAA
rnacentral:lncRNA from 1 species